GUUUAUAAUAUUAAAUUGAAGUUAAUGGGUAGACUAUAUUAUGUAUAUGUUUUGUGUUACCAUUGCACUCAACCUUUACUAACAGAUUAAAUGGAGUGGUAGGAACCAGGAAGGAGCAGGGACAACCGCCGGUGAAGAGGUGGAACAAGUUAACAGCUACCUCUCUCGUUGUGCCCUUACGACAAAAUAUAUGUCGAAAGCAGGUGAACAGAGUGUUUUCCAUAUUGUUGCAUACUUCUUUUCAAAGACUGCAUGCCAUCAACUCAUACUUUGCCUUCAAUAGCCCGGUUGGACAUGCUCACAUUGCAUGCAAUGUUGUGGAACCAGAAGAAAGGGGAUUCCUUACACCAGGCACUUUUUUUGUCCUUUGUUUUUAUCAUUUGAGCUGUUGUUAAUCCUACAGACUUUAUCCUGAUUACUGUGUUACACUGUUUAUCAGACUUGUCAGAGGCUCCUGGAUGAGACUGCAAUGCUAGCAGAGCUAAAAACCCAGCUACAUCUCUCAGAUGAAAUGGUGUCACAGUGGAUCUCAGAUGUGAUGGAAUGGGCAGCUGGUGGUUUGAUAUUAAAGAUCAGCCAACAAUAGUUGGCUGAUCAUUCAGGGCAGAUAAAGUGAUCUCUAGGGAUUACAAGAGGUGGU
ensembl:lncRNA